UACGGGGGGGGCAAGCGUUGUUCGGAAUUACUGGGCGUAAAGGGCGCGUAGGCGGUUGGAUAAGUCAGCUGUGAAAACCACGAGCUCAACUUGUGGCCUGCAGUUGAAACUGUCUGGCUAGAGUGUGGGAGAGGGAAGUGGAAUUCCUGGUGUAGCGGUGAAAUGCGUAGAUAUCAGGAGGAACACCGGUGGCGAAGGCGACUACCUGGCCUGUUCUUGACGCUGAGGCGCGAAAGCUAGGGGAGCAAACGGG
rnacentral:rRNA from 1 species